GAUGAACGCUGGCGGCGUGCCUAAUACAUGCAAGUCGAGCGAACAGACGAGGAGCUUGCUCCUCUGACGUUAGCGGCGGACGGGUGAGUAACACGUGGAUAACCUACCUAUAAGACUGGGAUAACUUCGGGAAACCGGAGCUAAUACCGGAUAAUAUAUUGAACCGCAUGGUUCAAUAGUGAAAGACGGUUUUGCUGUCACUUAUAGAUGGAUCCGCGCCGCAUUAGCUAGUUGGUAAGGUAACGGCUUACCAAGGCAACGAUGCGUAGCCGACCUGAGAGGGUGAUCGGCCACACUGGAACUGAGACACGGUCCAGACUCCUACGGGAGGCAGCGGUAGGGAAUCGUCCGCAAUGGGCGAAAGCCUGACGGAGCAACGCCGCGUGAGUGAUGAAGGUCUUCGGAUCGUAAAACGCUGUUAUUAGGGAAGAACAAAUGUGUAAGUAACUAUGCACGUCUUGACGGUACCUAAUCAGAAAGCCACGGCUAACUACGU
rnacentral:rRNA from 1 species